AGAGACGAAACAGUGAUGUGGAGUAAAACUUAAUAAAAGACGACCUCAGUUCGGAUUGAAGGCUGAAAUUCGCCUUCAUGAAGUCGGAAUUGCUAGUAAUGGCAGGUCAGCAUACUGCCGUGAAUACGUUCCCGGGCCUUGUACACACCGCCCGUCACACCAUGAGAGUUGGGGAUACCCGAAGCCUGUGAGCCAACUUUUUAAGAGGCAGCAGUCGAAGGUAGAAUCAAUGAUUGGGGUGAAGUCGUAACAAGGUAGC
rnacentral:rRNA from 1 species